rnacentral:rRNA from 1 species
CCAAAGUAUACGUUAAGUGGAAAAGGAUGUGGCGUUGCUUAGACAACCAGGAUGUUGGCUUAGAAGCAGCCAUCAUUCAAAGAGUGCGUAAUAGCUCACUGGUCGAGUGACGCUGCGCCGAAAAUGUACCGGGGCUAAACGUAUCACCGAAGCUGCGGAUGGACACCGUUUGGUGUCCGUGGUAGGAGAGCGUUCUAAGGGCGUUGAAGCCGGACCGGAAGGACCGGUGGAGCGCUUAGAAGUGAGAAUGCCGGUAUGAGUAGCGAAAGAAGGGUGAGAAUCCCUUCCACCGAAUGCCUAAGGUUUCCUGAGGAAGGCUCGUCCGCUCAGGGUUAGUCGGGGCCUAAGCCGAGGCCGAAAGGCGUAGGCGAUGGACAACAGGUUGAUAUUCCUGUACCGCCUCUUCACCGUUUGAACGAUGGGGGGACGCAGGAGGAUAGGGCAAGCGCGACACUGGUUGAUCGCGUCCAAGCAGUUAGGCCGGUGCGGAGGCAAAUCCUUCGCGCCAAGGCGGAGCUGUGAUGGCGAGGGAAAUUUUAGUACCGAAGUUCCUGAUUCCACACUGCCAAGAAAAGCCUCUAGUGAGGUGAAAGGCGCCCGUACCGCAAACCGACACAGGUAGGCGAGGAGAGAAUCCUAAGGUGAGCGAGAGAACUCUCGUUAAGGAACUCGGCAAAAUGACCCCGUAACUUCGGGAGAAGGGGUGCUUUUUGGGGUGUAUGCCCCGGGAAGCCGCAGUGAAUAGGCCCAGGCGACUGUUUAGCAAAAACACAGGUCUCUGCGAAGCCGCAAGGCGAAGUAUAGGGGCUGACACCUGCCCGGUGCUGGAAGGUUAAGGAGAGGGGUUAGCCGUAAGGCGAAGCUCUGAACUGAAGCCCCAGUAAACGGCGGCCGUAACUAUAACGGUCCUAAGGUAGCGAAAUUCCUUGUCAGGUAAGUUCUGACCCGCACGAAAGGUGUAACGAUCUGGGCACUGUCUCAACGAGAGACUCGGUGAAAUUAUAGUACCUGUGAAGAUGCAGGUUACCCGCGACAGGACGGAAAGACCCCAUGGAGCUUUACUGCAGCCUGAUAUUGAAUUUUGGUACAGCUUGUACAGGAUAGGUAGGAGCCUUGGAAACCGGAGCGCCAGCUUCGGCGGAGGCAUCGGUGGGAUACUACCCUGGCUGUAUUGAAAUUCUAACCCGCACCCCUUACCGGGGUGGGAGACAGUGUCAGGCAGGCAGUUUGACUGGGGCGGUCGCCUCCUAAAAGGUAACGGAGGCGCCCAAAGGUUCCCUCAGAAUGGUUGGAAAUCAUUCGCAGAGUGUAAAGGCAUAAGGGAGCUUGACUGCGAGACUUACAAGUCG